CAGGAAGGUUUUUGGAUCGUAAACCCCUUUUGUCAAGGAAAGAAGCUCUGACGGUACUUGACGAAUAAGCCUCGGCUAACUCCGUGCCAGCAGCCGCGGUAAUACGGAGGAGGCAAGCGUUAUCCGGAAUGAUUGGGCGUAAAGCGUCUGUAGGUGGCCAGCUAAGUCUGCUGUUAAAGAUCACAGCUCAACUGUGGGAAGGCAGUGGAAACUGGCAAGCUAGAGGUUGGUAGGGGUAAAGGGAAUUCCCGGUGUAGCGGUGAAAUGCGUAGAUAUCGGGAAGAACACCGGUGGCGAAAGCGCUUUACUGGGCCAGACCUGACACUGAAGGACGAAAGCUAGGGGAGCGAAAGGGAUUAGAUACCCCUGUAGUC
rnacentral:rRNA from 1 species